AUACGGAGGACGCGAGCGUUAUCCGGAUUCAUUGGGUUUAAAGGGUGCGCAGGCGGCCGUGCAAGUCAGCGGUGAAAGCCCGGGGCUCAACCCCGGAAGUGCCGUUGAUACUGCAUGGCUGGAAUGCGGUCGAGGCGGGCGGAACGUGGGGUGGAGCGGUGAAAUGCGUAGAUAUGCCACAGAACGCCGAUAGCGGAGGCAGCUCGCCAGGCCUGCAUUGACGCUCGGGCACGAAAGCGUGGGGAUCGAACAGGAUUAGAUACCCUGGUAGUCCACGCCGUAAACGAUGGGCGCUCGUUGUCGGCGGCAGACAGUCGGCGGCCAAGCGAAAGCGAUAAGCGCCCCACCUGGGGAGUACGGUCGCAAGGCUGAAACUCAAAUGAAUUGGCGGGG
rnacentral:rRNA from 1 species